rnacentral:sRNA from 2 species
AGAGUAAGUUAGCCUAAUCCUUGCUUAAUAAAAUAAGCAAGAGCGGGGGAACCAAAUUCGGGGCGUAUCUCUAUCGAUGUAAAUAGAGAAGGACAUCUCUCAGUCCUAGCCCGUCAGCUAACCUCGUCGGCUUUGAGAGGAGACUGA